GGGUAACCUGCGGAGGGAUCAUUACACAAAUAUGAAGGCGGGCUGGAACCUCUCGGGGUUACAGCCUUGCUGAAUUAUUCACCCUUGUCUUUUGCGUACUUCUUGUUUCCUUGGUGGGUUCGCCCACCACUAGGACAAACAUAAACCUUUUGUAAUUGCAAUCAGCGUCAGUAACAAAUUAAUAAUUACAACUUUCAACAACGGAUCUCUUGGUUCUGGCAUCGAUGAAGAACGCAGCGAAAUGCGAUAAGUAGUGUGAAUUGCAGAAUUCAGUGAAUCAUCGAAUCUUUGAACGCACAUUGCGCCCUUUGGUAUUCCAAAGGGCAUGCCUGUUCGAGCGUCAUUUGUACCCUCAAGCUUUGCUUGGUGUUGGGCGUCUUGUCUCUAGCUUUGCUGGAGACUCGCCUUAAAGUAAUUGGCAGCCGGCCUACUGGUUUCGGAGCGCAGCACAAGUCGCACUCUCUAUCAGCAAAGGUCUAGCAUCCAUUAAGCCUUUUUCAACUUUGACCUCGGAUCAGUAGAUCCCGCCCACA
rnacentral:rRNA from 1 species